rnacentral:tRNA from 1 species
AAAUAAGAAGUAAAAUACAAUUAGCUUCGACCUAAUCUUAGAGACUAGAGUUCUCCUUAUUUU